CUGCAGCUCAAGUGGUGACCACUAUUAUUGGGCCUAAAACGUUCGUAGCCGGUUUGGUAAAUGCCUGGGUAAAUCGUGUAGCUUAACUAUACGAAUUCCGGGUAGACUGCCAAACUUGAGACCGGGAGAAGCUAGAGGUACUCCUGGGGUAGAGGUGAAAUUCUGUAAUCCUGGGGGGACCACCAGUGGCGAAGGCGUCUAGCUAGAAUGGGUCUGACGGUGAGGAACGAAGCCCUGGGGCGCAAACCGGAUUAGAUACCCGAGUAGUCC
rnacentral:rRNA from 1 species